AAGCAGAUCGGCGGCCGCGGGGAGGUUCGGGGCGGCGCAGCCCCGCGCGGUUGUGGGAUCGCUCCCGGGGGCCGCUCCUCUCUCGGGCACUGGGGUCGCGGGAGACGUCGUCGGGAGCUCGGUUUCUGGAGGCCCUUCCCCACCCGGCCUCUGCCUCCUCCACUCCCCCGGGCUGGACGGAACGGGGCCCAGCGCGGGAUGCGAGGUGCGUCCCCGGGGCCCGCAGCGGGCGGGAGCGCAGCCAGGGCCCGGUCGGGGACGCAGGCCCAGGGCGCUGAGGCUGCACCUGCCUCUCCGAAACCGGGCUGGCUCUUUUUGUCUUUUUAUUUUUCUAAUUUAUUUUUUUAGAGGUAUGAUUUCGCUCUGUCGCCCAGGCUGGAGGGCAGUGGCGCAAUCUCGGCUCACUGCAGCCUCGAACUCCUAGGCUGAAGCGAUUCUCCCGCCUCAGCCUCCAAAGUAGCCGGUACUACAGGCGCGCGCCACCACGCCUGGCUAAGGGUCUUACUAUGUCACCCAGACUGAAGUGCAGUGGCAUGAUCACAGGUCAUUGCAUCCUCAACCACCCAGACUCAAGCAAUCCUCCUGUCUCAGCCUUCCAAGUAACUGAGACCACAGAAAUAACCAUGGAUAUGGGUAGAGACAGAGCCAUAUGGAAUGCACACUGCAGUGGUGAACACAUGGCCCAGCUCUGCCAUCAAGGAGAAGGAACAUGAAUGGAGCUGGAGGCCAUCAUCCUUAGUGAACUAACACAGGAGCAGAAAACCAAAUACCACAUGUUCUCAUGUGUAAGUGGGAGCUAAAUGAUGAGAACACAUGGACACAAAGAGGGGAACAACAGACACUGAAGCCUCCUUGAGGGAGGAGGGUAAGAGGAAGGAGAAGAUCAGAAAAGAUAACUACCAGGUACUAUGGUAGCUUAGUACCUGGGUGAUGAAAUAAUCUGUACACCCAACCCUCAUGACAGAAGUUUACCUGUGUAACAAACCUGCACAUGUAUCCCUGAAACUAAAAGUUUUUUAAAAAGUUAUUUAAUAUAUAUAUAUUUUUUUGAGACGGAGUUUUGCUCUUGUUGCCCAGGCUGGAGUGCGGUGGCGCAAUUUCGGCUCACCACAACCUCCGCCUCCCAGGUUCAAGCUAUUCCCCUGCCUCAGCCUCCCUAGUAGCUGGGAUUACAGGCUUGUGCCACCACGCCGGCUAAUUUUGUAUUUUUUGUAGAGACGGGGUUUCUCCAUGUUGGUCAGGCUGGUCUCGAACUCCCGACCUCAGGUGAUCCACCCCCCUCGGCCUCCCAAAGUGCUAGGAUUACAGGCAUGAGCCACUGCGCCCGGCAAAAAGUUAUUUAAUAUUAAUGGGACAAUACUCAUUGCAAGAAUCAGACUUCAAUUGCUAGCAUAAGUAAAUGACAGGCAGGAGAUAUUGAAAAUGCAAUCUUAUAGACAUUCAAGGAGAGGACGCAGGACAUUUCUGUGUCAUAAAUGUACUAUGGAAAAUAAAAAUGAGAAAAAUGGAAAUAAAAUACAAGAAAAGGUUAUGAUAAAUUUCAUAUUAUUUUACCACAAUAAAAAAAUUUUAAUAAAUUAUAAAUGGUGUGAUAUGUUUUGCCUGUGUUCCACCCAAAUCUCAUCUUGAAUUAGAGCUCCCACAAUUCCCACGUGUUGUGGCUGGGACCCUGUGGGAGAUAAUUGAAUCAUGGGGGCAGUUUACCCCAUACUGUUCUCUUGGUGGUGAAUAAGUCUCAUGAGAGUUGAUGGUUUGAUAAGGGGUUUCCCCUUUUGCUUGGCUCUCAUUCUCUCUUGACUGCCACCAUGUAAGAUGUGCCUUUUGCCUUCCACCAUGAUUGUGAAGCCUCCCAGCCACAUGGAACUGUGAGUCCAUUAAACCUUUUUCUUUACAAAUUA
rnacentral:lncRNA from 1 species